AUUUGGAGGAACAAAACAAAGGGGAGGAAAAGGAAGUUGGUUAUAUAACACAUCAGUUGGAAACUACCAAAGAGAGUUGGGUGCGUAUGUGGCUGCUGGUAGGAACUGGUAGGUAG
rnacentral:lncRNA from 1 species